CGAGUGAGCGGCAAAAGCUCCAUUUUGAAAGCUCUUCGGAGCGUUGUAGAUUGGUGGGAAGCUAACGGCUGGUGGGAGACCAAGUCCUCUGGAACGAGGCGCCAUAGAGGGUGAGAGCCCCGUGUGUCUCCUUUACCGACCUUUCAGCCCCCUCCGCGGAGUCGAGUUGUUUGGGAAUGCAGCUCUAAGUGGGUGGUAAAUUCCAUCUAAGGCUAAAUAUUGGCGAGAGACCGAUAGCGAACAAGUACAGUGAUGGAAAGAUGAAAAGCACUUUGAAAAGAGAGUGAAACAGUACGUGAAAUUGUUGAAAGGGAAGGGUAUUUGGCCCGACAUGGGUCCUAUGCACCGUUGCCUCUCGUGGGCGGCGCUCUGCUUGGGCCUGGGCCAGCGUCAGUUUGGAGGGGGCGAGAAGGGUUUUGGGGAGUUGCCUAGCAAUUCCCCUUUGCUAGAUUGCCCCACACCGGACUGAGGACCGCCAUCUGUAGGAUGCUGGCACAACGGCCAAAUACCGCCCGU
rnacentral:rRNA from 1 species